GAUGAACGCUGGCGGCGUGCCUAAUACAUGCAAGUCGAACGCUGAAGCUUGGUGCUUGCACCGAGCGGAUGAGUUGCGAACGGGUGAGUAACGCGUAGGUAACCUGCCUCUUAGCGGGGGAUAACUAUUGGAAACGAUAGCUAAUACCGCAUAAAAGUCGAUAUCGCAUGAUAUUGAUUUGAAAGGUGCAAAUGCAUCACUAAGAGAUGGACCUGCGUUGUAUUAGCUAGUUGGUGAGGUAACGGCUCACCAAGGCGACGAUACAUAGCCGACCUGAGAGGGUGAUCGGCCACACUGGGACUGAGACACGGCCCAGACUCCUACGGGAGGCAGCAGUAGGGAAUCUUCGGCAAUGGGGGCAACCCUGACCGAGCAACGCCGCGUGAGUGAAGAAGGGUUUCGGAUCGUAAAGCUCUGUUGUAAGAGAAGAACGAGUGUGAGAGUGGAAAGUUCACACUGUGACGGUAACUUACCAGAAAGGGACGGCUAACUACGUG
rnacentral:rRNA from 1 species